rnacentral:rRNA from 1 species
UUGUGGUCAAGCUAAUAAGGGCUAAUGGUGGAUACCUAGGCACACAGAGGCGAAGAAGGACGUGGUUACCGACGAAAUGUUCCGGGGAGUUGGAAGCAAACUUUGAGCCGGAAAUAUCCGAAUGGGGCAACCCUAUGUACUACCUGUUGAAUAUAUAGACAGGAAAGAGCCAACCCAGCGAACUGAAACAUCUUAGUAGCUGGAGGAAGAGAAAUCAAACUAGAGAUUCCCUCAGUAGUGGUGAGCGAAAGGGGAAAAGCCUAAACCAAGGGAUUUAUCCUUUGGGGUCGUGGGACAGCGAGAUCGAAUCUAGAGACUAAACGAAACAGCUAAAUACUGUACCAGAGGGGGUGAAAGUCCCGUAGUUGAAAGUCAAAGGAUAGUAGCUGAAUCCCGAGUAGCAUGGAGCACGAGGAAUUCCAUGUGAAUCAGCGAGGACCACCUCGUAAGGCUAAAUACUACUGUGUGACCGAUAGUGAACAAGUACCGCGAGGGAAAGGUGAAAAGAACCCCGGAAGGGGAGUGAAAUAGAACAUGAAACCAUAAGCUUACAAGCAGUGGGAGUCCGAUUUAACGGAUGACCGCGUGCCUGUUGAAGAAUGAGCCGGCGACUUAUAGGCACUGGUAGGUUAAAGCGAGAAUGCUGGAGCCAAAGGGAAACCGAGUCUGAACAGGGCGAUAAAUCAGUGUUUAUAGACCCGAACCCUGGUGAUCUAACCAUGUCCAGGAUGAAGCUUGGGUAACACCAAGUGGAGGUCCGAACCGACUGAUGUUGAAAAAUCAGCGGAUGAGGUGUGGUUAGGGGUGAAAUACCAAUCGAACCAGGAGCUAGCUGGUUCUCCCCGAAAUGUGUUGAGGCGCAGCGGUAAUGGUUAAAUUUGGGGGGUAAAGCACUGUUUCGGUGCGGGCUGGGAGACCGGUACCAAAUCGAGACAAACUCAGAAUACCCAGAAGAAGACAUUGCCAGUGAGACAGUGGGGGAUAAGCUUCAUUGUCAAGAGGGAAACAGCCCAGACCACCAGCUAAGGUCCCCAAAUCAUCGCUAAGUGAUAAAGGAGGUGAGAUUGCCUAGACAACUAGGAGGUUUGCCUAGAAGCAGCCACCCUUGAAAGAGUGCGUAAUAGCUCACUAGUCAAGCGAUCUUGCGCCGAAAAUGAACGGGGCUAAGCGAUGUACCGAAGCUGUGGGAUUGAUAUUAAAUUAUUAAUCGGUAGGGGAGCGUUCCGUCGUAGGUUGAAGCAGUAGCGGCGAGCAGCUGUGGACGAAACGGAAGUGAGAAUGUCGGCUUGAGUAGCGCAAAUGUAUGUGAGAAUCAUACACCCCGAAACCCUAAGGGUUCCAGAGCCAGGUUCGUCCACUCUGGGUUAGUCGGGACCUAAGGCGAGGCCGAAGGGCGUAGUCGAUGGACAAAGUGUCAAUAGUCACUUACUGUUCUGUGGGAGCAUAGAGAGGGACGCAUGAAAGAUAGCCAUACCCUGAUUGGUUUGGGAGGAGUUUACGAACUCCGAGUGGUGAAGGAUAGUGCCAAGAAAAGCUGGCUAUGUGAUGAAGAUAGAACACCCGUACCCGAAACCGACACAGGUAGGGAGGUUGAGAAUACCAAGGGGCGCGAGAUAACUCUCUCUAAGGAACUCGGCAAAAUGGCCCCGUAACUUCGGGAGAAGGGGUGCCCACCUCAGACGUGGGUCGCAGUGAAGAGAUCCAGGCGACUGUUUACCAAAAACACAGGUCUCCGCCAACUCGUAAGAGGACGUAUGGGGGCUGACGCCUGCCCAGUGCCGGAAGGUUAAGGAAGCUGGUCAGCGAAAGUAAAGCUGGCGACUGAAGCCCCGGUGAACGGCGGCCGUAACUAUAACGGUCCUAAGGUAGCGAAAUUCCUUGUCGGGUAAGUUCCGACCCGCACGAAAGGCGUAACGAUCUGGAUGGUGUCUCAGAGAGAGACUCGGCGAAAUAGGAAUGUCUGUGAAGAUACGGACUGCCUGCACCUGGACAGAAAGACCCUAUGAAGCUUUACUGUAGCCUGGAAUUGUGUUCGGGCUUCGCUUGCGCAGGAUAGGUGGGAAGCGGUGAACUAUUCCUUUUGGGGAAUAGGGAGCUAACGGUGAGAUACCACUCUGGCGAAGCUAGAAUUCUAACCCACGACCGUCAGCCGGUUGGGGAACAGUUUCAGGUGGGCAGUUUGACUGGGGCGGUCGCCUCCUAAAAGGUAACGGAGGCGCGCAAAGGUUCCCUCAGCACGCUUGGAAACCGUGCGACGAGUGUAAAAGCAAAAGGGAGCUUGACUGCAAGACUGACAAGUCGAGCAGGUACGAAAGUAGGCUUUAGUGAUCCGACGGCGCAGAGUGGAAUGGCCGUCGCUCAACGGAUAAAAGUUACUCUAGGGAUAACAGGCUGAUCUCCCCCAAGAGUCCACAUCGACGGGGAGGUUUGGCACCUCGAUGUCGGCUCAUCGCAACCUGGGGCGGAAGUACGUCCCAAGGGUUGGGCUGUUCGCCCAUUAAAGCGGUACGUGAGCUGGGUUCAGAACGUCGUGAGACAGUUCGGUCCAUAUCCGGUGCAGGCGCAAGAGUAUUGAGAGGAGUCCUCCUUAGUACGAGAGGACCGGGAGGAACGCACCGCUGGUGUACCAGUUAUUGUACCAACAGUAAACGCUGGGUAGCCAAGUGCGGAGAGGAUAACCGCUGAAAGCAUCUAAGUGGGAAGCCCACCUCAAGAUGAGUACUCUCACUACGAUUUGUAGGUAAGGUCACGGGCAGAACACCCGUUAAUAGGCUCUAAGUGGAAGUGCAGUAAUGUAUGAAGCUGAGGGGUACUAAUAGACCGAGGGCUUGACCUCU